UCCGAAAUAUUUUAGUUGGCAGAGCGUUAGAGUAUAGAUCGAAAAGUCCCUGGUUCGAUCCCGCGUUCCGGCA
rnacentral:tRNA from 1 species